GUGCUCAUAGCGUAACGGAUAACGCAUCAGUCUCCGGAACUGAAGAAUGCAAGUUCGAUUCUUGCUGGGCACG
rnacentral:tRNA from 1 species